UAGCCACACCUCCGCGCGCGUCCCCGCGCGCCGUGGAAGCUUUCGAGCUGCAGCGACGCACAAUUUAGUUUCUCUUCCCGGACCUCAACGUGAAUUUUUUUCGCUUUAUUUUUCCUCACAUGAUUUUAAGCUGAAGACCAAGGGGGCGUUUUUUUUUUUUUUUUUUCGUCCUGUGCCUGCGGGACAAGCUCGGUGACACCGCGGAGACGAGCGGCGACAGGAGCGAGGCUUCCGCUCAUUAUAACCCGGGCACACUUUGGAUUACUUCAACGCACAGUUGUGCCUGGAAUACAACAGCAUUAUUACUACAACAGCAGCGUGCACUCCGGUUCUUUGCACGUCGCUUUUCUUAAGUAGAUGAUACAACCAUGAACGGGUGCAUGCAUUAAACGUGCGCUUUGUGCACAUUUUAUCUGCGUGAAAAACGCAAUCACCUGAAGCCGAAUUGCGCUUUAAAGAAUAUUGCGUGUUUUUCUUUUUUUAUAAACCCCAAAAGUUAACAGACGUUUUCCUGGACCGAGGUCUGCACCUUUUUUUGAAUUCGGAGAAAGCAGCUGAGCCCGGGCAGGAUGAGGAUACAUCACAGCUGAAACCACGAGACCGGGACUUGGGUGCUGAAAUCUGACCGGACGAAACCCCACCUCCGUCCUGGACCAGGACCGGAGCCGAAUCCCGAUGAGUCCUGACGGCGCGAUGUGGACCCUGCUACCGAUGCUGUGCCUGCUCUCCGGGGCCACCUGGGCAGCGACUCUGAGCGGGCUGCAAGGAUCUUGCAGCAGUGGGAGAGGAAGGAAGGAAACACACACACACACACCCUGCUCCUUUUUUCUCUCUCUCCUCUCGUGAGUAGAAUACUACAGCCUUCCUUUGGCCCUUUCCUUCUAGACACACACCCAAACAAACACAGGCUUGUUUUUCGCCCAUUGAUCUCCACACCUCAGCUGUCUCUCAGACAAACAAAUACAAAGAUAAGUGACCUGCGUUGCUUUCGUCUGUGUUUUUAUCACAAGAGGAUUCUAAAAAGCCGGACACCUCAUUUCAUAAUGAAACUCGUUACAGAAGUAGCAGAAGUCAGCAGAUUUGUGCCUGCUGGCAUUUUCUACUGCGUGACAGUUGGGAGCUGGAAGAAGCCACAGUGGGCAGACUGCUGAGUUCGAGUGCAGAGGAAAUGUCUUGGAAAUCCCAGAUUUACUGGAGUGAUACUUCCCUGUGACCAGUGCACAUGAAAUGCGUCCUCUACCCUUCGUAUCCUCACAACAGAGUGAACCUACUGGACACGCAGAGGACGAUUACACACGCUCAGCUGCCCUGUAUAAUUUAACCCGUCAUCACAACUUCACCAUCAGGUCAAACCAGCUUGCAGCUGUGAGCAGAAAAGGCUGCGGCUCAACCAGUUUCCACAGAGCAAACAAAAUGUGCAGAUGGUAUUCAUUGAAUUUAGGAUUCAACGAAGCCGGUAAAGUGAGAGUAUCUCACAAA